rnacentral:rRNA from 1 species
GACAGAGGAUGCAAGCGUUAUCCGGAAUGAUUGGGCGUAAAGCGUCUGUAGGUGGUUUAAUAAGUCAACUGUUAAAUCUUGAGGCUCAACCUCAAAAUCGCAGUCGAAACUAUUAGGCUAGAGUAUAGUAGGGGUAAAGGGAAUUUCCAGUGGAGCGGUGAAAUGCGUAGAGAUCGGAAAGAACACCAACGGCGAAAGCACUCUGCUGGGCCGACACUGACACUGAGAGACGAAAGCUAGGGGAGCGAAUGGG